rnacentral:rRNA from 1 species
GACGAACGCUGGCGGCGUGCUUAACACAUGCAAGUCGAGCGGUAAGGCCCUUUCGGGGGUACACGAGCGGCGAACGGGUGAAUAACACGUGGGUGACCUGCCCUUAGCUCUGGGAUAAGCCUGGGAAACUGGGUCUAAUACCGGAUAUGACUCCAUGACGCAUGUUGUGGGGUGAAAGCCUUGUGCGGCUAGGGAUGGGCCUGCGGCCUAUCAGCUUGUUGGUGGGGUGAUGGCCUACCAAGGCGACGACGGGUAGCCGGCCUGAGAGGGCGACCGGCCACACUGGGACUGAGACACGGCCCAGACUCCUACGGGAGGCAGCAGUGGGGAAUCUUGCGCAAUGGGCGAAAGCCUGACGCAGCGACGCCGCGUGGGGAUGACGGCCU